rnacentral:lncRNA from 1 species
CCAAAAAGAUAUAAAAGGCAUACAAAACAUCCAAAGUUUGACAAGAUAAUAGCAUGGAACCAUAAAAAAUUAUAGAUACGUUGGAGACGUAUCAGAGCGUCUCCUCUAGUGUGUGUAUCGUUGGUCACUUACCACGAAGGAGAUGGGCGCCCGACGAAUCCAAAGGGUAAAUGUCGAACAACCCCGACUAGGCAUUCCGUAAUCCGAGAGGAGGAGGCGGAGGCAGCAGCAGAGACGACGAGGGUGGCCGAGCUCAAGCGCAAGCAAGACCGUAUCGUCCGGCACUUGCAAGGCUACAUCGUCAUCUCCAAUUCCUCCUCCUUCGACGGGGCUGACUCCGACGACUCCUACGUCAACCCACCUCCUACUCCGGACGCCUACAACAUCGCCGAAGAUCGGAAAGGGCAAAGGCUCGACGAGGAAGUGGUGAAGCUCUCCCUCUCCUCUUAGAUAAUCUAGUAUCAGUAUGUAGUUAGAAUGUGCCUGAUAGUUGAAAUCUGUGAAUUAUGUCCUUUUUGGUGGUCUUUAUAUGAAUUAUGCCCGUUUGGAAUCAGUUUAUAUGUCUGUUUCCUGUUGAUUUUGAUCGUUUGAUGAUCUAUGCACUAGUUGCAUCAAUUUGUAUGGAUAUAUGAUACUGGAUAUGAGAUAUAUAGAGAGUGCCCGAUCAGUGUCCGCGAACAUGUCGGGACGCGUCUGCGAGCAUUUUGCAAGAUCCGACAGUAGAUGCUCUUAGGACAUCUCCAAAGCUAACCCAAAACUCCACCAAGCGUCCGCACCAAGCUGUCCGGACACCAAGAAGACAUCUAACGUUGUCUUGCAUUUGUCUGCAGACCAAAUCGUGUUUAUUUUUUCGCAAAUCAAGGGGUUUUGCGGGAGUCUAAACACCAAUCAUGUAUGACGCCGACACCCCCGCCCAACCUAAAACCUCCGGCCAACCUAAAACUGAGGCGACACGCAUUUGGAAUUGGCC